CCUUAAAACAAGAAAAGAGAGCGGCAAAAGGCAAACUUGGAUAGUAAUCUUCUUCUCCUAGUUCAUCUUCAAAAGGCAAUCUGUUUUCUUCCAAUGCAUUUCCUUCAGCUAAAGCACUAAGAUAUUUCCAAGACCUCUGUGCAGGAUUAUAUUCCUGCAAUCUCUUCCAGCCGAGUUGUUCACAAUACUCAUCUGUUCCAUCAUUAUUGGUACUAGAUAGAUAAUAUGUCUGUAAACCACUGAAAUGAUAAACAAACAAUCAAAAUCCGAAAAAUGAUUAGGCAGCUGCAAACAAUGCACCCACUUCACUGCUUAGGUUGCAAAGGAAAUUCAAAUAACACAAACAUACUUUGCAGAUUUCUGUUGUGGGAAGGCAUUGAUUAUAAUUUCAUGAUGCUUAAUACGUUUGCUUCAUAAAAAUUGCACAAGUAAAAACUUAUCGCACCAAUUAUUUUUUUAUUGAUCUUCUGAAAAUGUGGCAGCCGAUGAAGUUCUUAAUACACGUAACUAGACUGAAAAUAAACACCUAGUUGUCAUUUAACCAGUUGUCAGAGAAUUCUUAGCUACCUCAGGCACCAAAGGACUGCAAAUAACAAUUUCAGGCUAAUUGAAGAAUUAAGGGUUGUACUUAUGCUAAACACCAGGUGAAGAAAUACCUUGACAUAUCAAUUCUUUGCCAUCUCCCAAAGUCUAAGCCAGAAAGCACAACAAUGUGUUUCUUUCCGCUAGCAACUGCAAAAUCUGCCAAGUUCUUAGCAAAUUCAAUCAUCAUCCCCUGUAUGAACAAUUUGUUAUCAACCAACAGAUUCCCAAAGGCAAGUGGACAGAAUAAGAAUUUUAUGAUAUAUAAACUCAUGAUGCAACUUCACAUGCAUGCUCACAAGUGUUGUCCAAAGUAGAUGAAAGUCCUGAGACAUGAAAGAUGCAAAUACUCACUCAAACUCUGGUUGGCAUGUUUCCUAUCAAGUUUCAAGACUCUUGUAAGAAUUUGUUAACAGGAAAAUAUAGCCAUUCAUUAUAAUCCUUUCAAUUUGGCAAUUAGGAGCUUCUCUCUUACCAUUCUGGUUAGUUUGCAUAGCCAAAAAAUUAGUCUGCAUUUCCACUUGAGAUGCACUAUUGUAGAGAAUUUCUUGCUUUUGCUGUCACAACUCAUUACUCUCAUACUCUGUAUUUUUCUUCCCCAUCUGAUAGUGCACGUAGUACAUUGAUGAUCUAAGCACAUAAACAUUCUGGUAUUUCACCUUUUCAACAUAAUUUCACAUUAUGCAUGUUAAACCCUCACUAAAGCAACAUACUGCAUGCAAUUCUUAAAAGAUAGUGUGUCAUUUUAGCUACAGACUAUCAACUCCAAGCAUCAGCACACAGUAUGCAAUGGAUGAAGAAAUAUCCUAAUGUUCUAGACUUGAAUUAGGAAUAUCUUCAUUUCAGCACAAAUACAACAUACAAAAUAAUGCCCAAGUUCAUUCCCAAAUUGGCAUACAGAAAUGUUAGCAAAGAAGGCUUCCAAAAUUGAAGUAGUA
rnacentral:misc_RNA from 1 species